CUUUAUGGAAAAUACAGUGGAAAAAAUUUAAAAAGACUCUUACUUUCUACUUUGCAAUAACACAUCUGUAACAUGCACUUGUAAAUGAUUUUAGCUUUGAUUUGGAAUUUAAAAUUCUUUUAAGGAAAUAAUAAGUUACAACCCAUUGGUUUGGAGGAGCUUGAAUGAGAUAUGGACUUAAUUGGAGGAUAGCAAUCCAAUGCAAAAUGAAAAAUUCUAAAACUCUGGAAUCAUAAACACAAUGUCAAAGAGGACUGUUUUGUAAAGACCUAAAUCUAAAAUUUCCUGCCCUACAGAGGAAGUCUGAAUAGGGGAUGGGGGAAGAGUGGAGCUCUUCCAUAUGAAGUUAUCUUCCAGGUAAAGUUUUCUUAACAAGAACAGAGAAAUAAAUGAUGCCGGUCUCUAAUCUAACCAGAUCUACCAGCUAAGAAUUCCCAGCCAACAUCCUGAGUUCCUGCUUGCCUUGCACCUUGAACUACUGAAAAACUUCCUAAGAACUUUUCUCUGAUUCAUCUCUCUCUACUCCAUCCCUGUAGCCCAGCUGAUUUCCAGAAAGUUUGUCUGAAUAAUCACUCUCUUACUCAACAAACUCUUACCUUUCAAGUCCUUUUAGACUUUAUGACCAAUCCGAGUUCUUUAUGGGAUCCAACUUUUGACCUCAUUACUGUCCCUUGAAUAUGGCAUUCAAGUCUCCAUCUCCUUCCUUUUCCUUCUCUCUUAUUCUUGCCCAGAAUAAUGCAUCUAGUACACUGCCUCCUAGCUUCUUUCAAGAUUCUUCCCCAAUCCUAUGUCCUGCAGGGGACCUUUUCUAUCCCUUCCCUAAACUUCUACUGCCUUUCCUUGGAAACUAUCUCCCAUUAACAGUGUACAACUUUCAUAUGUACAUAGUUUAAGGCAUGCUGUCUCUCCCAUUAGACCACAAGCUCCUUGUAGGCAGAACUUCUGUUUUUGCCUUUCCUUGUAUUCUCAGAGCUGAGCACAGUGCCUGUUUCACAGAAAGCACUUAAUAAGCAUUAUUUGACUGACUAAGUAACUUAAGAUCAUUUUUAUCAGACCUUCCUGUGUAAUGUUCUGUAGUCAAGGAGUUCUUCUCACCUUACAUUGCUGCUAUUAUCAUCGUCGUUGUUGUUGCUGCUGCCACUGCUGCUGUUGUGAUUGACAUUGUAUUUGACAGGUUUUAUAUGCCUUUACCAGACCAUCCUCCAUGUCUGGCAUAGUCUCCCACUUCUUGUAAUUAAUAUUCAGCUCCCUUAAAGUCUCAGCUGAGGUCCAUCUCCUACUAAAAGCUCUCCCAGAAUUCUCUUACCUUUUGAUAUUCAAUCUCUUCUCAUAAACUACCUUUUUAGGUGCAUAUUCUAUAUUCAGGUACCUGUGUCCAUAUAUCCCUGCCCAGAAGGGGCUUUUCUUCCAGAAAAAGUCCUAAUAAAGCACACUCAAGAUGUGGGUAUAUGCU